UACGUAGGGUGCGAGCGUUAAUCGGAAUUACUGGGCGUAAAGCGUGCGCAGGCGGUGAUGUAAGACAGGUGUGAAAUCCCCGGCUUAACCUGGGAACUGCAUUUGUGACUGGCAAGCUAGAGUAUGGCAGAGGGGGGUAGAAUUCCACGUGUAGCAGUGAAAUGCGUAGAGAUGUGGAGGAAUACCGAUGGCGAAGGCAGCCCCCUGGGCCAAUACUGACGCUCAUGCACGAAAGCGUGGGGAGCAAACAGG
rnacentral:rRNA from 1 species